AAGGAGAAGGCACAGGAAGCUGAGUUGGACAUCAUAAGUGAUGAGAAUAUCCUGCAAAAUGGCAUCCUCUAUCGUCAACAAGAGUCAGCGUUGCAGCUAGUGGUUCCCCAAGCAGCUAGAAACGCCAUACUUGCCUUGGGGCACUCAGUUCCCUGGGCUGGCCACCUGGGCCCACAAAACCACAGUUCGCAUUAAAAACCAUUUCCACUGGCCUGGCCUGCGCAGACAUGUUGCUCAGGUGUACCAGUUACUGGGUAUCAGGAGCCUCAGGACUACACCAUAUGUUCCUCAAACGGAUGAGCUAACAGAGCGCUUUAACCAGACCCUGAAACAGAUGUUCAGGAAGUUGGUAAACAACAGUGGUACAGACUGGGAUCAAUGGCUGCCAUACCUCCUUUUUUGCAGGGAAGUACCCCAAUCCUCCACUGGUUUCUUUCCUUUUGAACUUUUGUAUAGACAUGAAGUUUGGGGGUCGUUGGCACUGUUGAGAGAGAUCUGGGAGGGGGCAAGGGGAGGGUGGGAUCUGUUAACGUUGUAUCCUAUGUCAUCCAGAUGAGAGAGCGGCUGGAGAAAAUGGGUGAGCUGGCCCAAUCGCACGUGGCGGACGCCCAGCAGCAACAAAAGUCCUGGUACGACAAGCCAGCCAGGCAGAGAUUCUUCGACCCUGGACAGAAAGUGCUGGUGCUAACAAACUGUUGGCUAAAUGGCAAGGACCGUUCAAAAUCCUCAAGAAACUUGGGCCAACCAGGUACCAGGUAUCGACACCAAGGCACUCACGCUCCAGUAGGGUACUUCACAUAAAUCUCUUAAAAGAGUGGGUGCAGCGACCUGAAAGAAAAACAGAAGUGAUGCUAAUAAGUGUGCUGGAUGAAGAAGAAGUGGAUGAGCAAUACUUACCUCUCUAGUGACCUGGUAGACCAUGAUCUCAGUAACCAAUCAGGCGGCCAACGGAUUCAGGUGAGAUCUAUCUGUAAUUCAGAUGUUUUCCAGGAGAAUCCUGGGAGAACAAAUAUUGUUGAACAUGACAUUGUUGUUAGAGAAGGUGCUUCUGUGAGAAGAUUAAGUUACAGGAUCCCUGAGCGCCUGCUGGCCUCACUGAGGAGGGAGGUUAACCUGAUGCCUUCCCUGGGGAUCAUCAAGGCUUCAAAGAGCUAGUGGUGUAACCCAAUGGUGCUUGUACCAAAGAAGGAUGGAAGCAUAAGGUUCUGCAUUGAUUUCAGGUACCUGAAUUUAAUUUCUCUCUUUGAUUCCUAUCCAACACCAAUAAUGUAUGAACUGCUUGAAAGGCAUAAUACUUGACCACAAUAGAUCUCUGCAAGGGUUAUUGGCAGAUUCCUCUCACCGUUCGGUCACAGGAGCUGACAGCCUUCAGGACACCAUGGGGCCCUUUCCAUUUCACAGUAAUACCAUUUGAGUUUCACAGCGCUCCAGAAACUUUCCAGAGACUCAUGGACCAGGUAAUUUGUUAUUUCUCUGGUUGUGCUGCAGCAUAUCUAGAUGACAUUGUCAUUUACAGUAACACGUGGGAGGAACACCUGCAAGCUGUCUUGGGUCGCCUUCAUUCUGCCGGGCUGACUGUCAUCCUAUCGAAGUACCUUGGCCACGUCAUCUUCAAUGGGGUUGUACACCCUCAGGUCAACAAAACCCAGGCCAUAGAGUCCUGUCCCCUGCCACAAACAAGGAAGCAGCUCCGAUCUUUUUUGGGCUCUCAGGCUUCUAUCACCGCUUCAUACCAAUUUCUCCAACAGGGCAGCUCUUCUCACAGCCUUGACUAGAUCCCGGAGUCCCAAUCAGAUCUAGUGGACAGAGGAGGCAGUGGCAGCUUUCAGUGAUAUCCAGCAAUCACUAAGUAAGCAACCUCCUCUGUACAGCCCAAACUUUGACAAACAUUUUCUUCUGCAAACUGAUGCUUCUGACAGGGCUUUGGGAGCUGUGUUACUCCAAGGACUUCAGGAUGAUCGGCAUCCAGUCGCCUACAUCAGCCGGAAACUGUUCCCCAGAGAGGUUCGAUAUUUGACGGUGGAGAAGGAGGCACUGGCUAUCAAGUGGGCCCUUGAUUCCUUCCGGUACUACCUUCUUGCUCAAGAGUUCACCUUGGAGACGGAUCACAAGGCCCAUUUGGUUUGUAAACUUGGUUUUCUAUUUUUGGGUAAAAUAAAAACCUACCUUUUCUUUAAACUUA